rnacentral:rRNA from 2 species
AUGAACGCCGGCGGUGUGCCUAAUACAUGCAAGUCGUACGCAGGUGCUUGCACCUGAGUGGCGGACGGGUGAGUAACACGUAGGUAACCUGCCCCGGAGCGGGGGAUAACAUUUGGAAACAGAUGCUAAUACCGCAUAACAACAAAGCCGCAUGGCUUUUGUUGAAAGAUGUUUGUAUCACUCUGGGAUGGACCUGCGGUGCAUUAGCUAGUUGGUAAGGUAACGGCUUACCAAGGCGAUGAUGCAUAGCCGAGUUGAGAGACUGAUCGGCCACAAUGGAACUGAGACACGGUCCGUACUCCUACGGGAGGCAGCAGUAGGGAAUCUUCCACAAUGGGCGCAAGCCUGAUGGAGCAACACCGCGUGAGUGAAGAAGGGUUUCGGCUCGUAAAGCUCUGUUGUUGGAGAAGAACGUGCGUGAGGUAAUUCACGCAGUGACGGUAUCCAACCAGAAAGUCACGGCUAACUACGUGCCAGCAGCCGCGGUAAUACGUAGGUGGCAAGCGUUAUCCGGAUUUAUUGGGCGUAAAGCGAGCGCAGCGGUUGCUUAGGUCUGAUGUGAAAGCCUUCGGCUUAACCGAAGAAGUGCAUCGGAAACCGGGCGACUUGAGUGCAGAAGAGGACAGUGGAACUCCAUGUGUAGCGGUGGAAUGCGUAGAUAUAUGGAAGAACACCAGUGGCGACGGCGGCUCUCUGGUCUGCAACUGACGCUGAGGCUCGAAAGCAUGGGUAGCGAACAGGAUUAGAUACCUGGUAGUCCAUGCCGUAAACGAUGAGUGCUAAGUGUUGGGAGGUUUCCCCUCUCAGUGCUGCAGCUAACGCAUUAAGCACUCCGCCUGGGGAGUACGACCGCAAGGUUGAAACUCAAAGGAAUUGACGGGGGCCCGCACAAGCGGUGGAGCAUGUGGUUUAAUUCGAAGCAACGCGAAGAACCUUACCAGGUCUUGACAUCCAGUGCAAACCUAAGAGAUUAGGAGUUCCCUUCGGGGACGCAAUGACAGGUGGUGCAUGGUCGUCGUCAGCUCGUGUCGUGAGAUGUUGGGUUAAGUCCCGCAACGAGCGCAACCCUUGUUACUAGUUGCCAGCAUUAAGUUGGGCACUCUAGUGAGACUGCCGGUGACAAACCGGAGGAAGGUGGGGACGACGUCAGAUCAUCAUGCCCCUUAUGACCUGGGCUACACACGUGCUACAAUGGACGGUACAACGAGUCGCGAACUCGCGAGGGCAAGCAAAUCUCUUAAAACCGUUCUCAGUUCGGACUGCAGGCUGCAACUCGCCUGCACGAAGUCGGAAUCGCUAGUAAUCGCGGAUCAGCAUGCCGCGGUGAAUACGUUCCCGGGCCUUGCACACACCGCCCGUCA